rnacentral:rRNA from 1 species
AGUGAACGCUGGCGGUAGGCCUAACACAUGCAAGUCGAACGGCAGCACAGGAGAGCUUGCUCUCUGGGUGGCGAGUGGCGGACGGGUGAGGAAUACAUCGGAAUCUACUCUGUCGUGGGGGAUAACGUAGGGAAACUUACGCUAAUACCGCAUACGACCUACGGGUGAAAGCAGGGGACCUUUGGGCCUUGCGCGAUUGAAUGAGCCGAUGUCGGAUUAGCUAGUUGGCGGGGUAAAGGCCCACCAAGGCGACGAUCCGUAGCUGGUCUGCGAGGAUGUUCAGCCACACUGGAACUGGGACACGGUCCAGAAUCCUACGGGAGACAGCAGUGGGGAAUAUUGGACAAUGGGCGCAAGCCUGAUCCAGCCAUACCGCGUGGGUGAAGAAGGCCUUCGGGUUGUAAAGCCCUUUUGUUGGGAAAGAAAUCCAGCUGGCUAAUACCCGGUUGGGAUGACGGUACCCAAAGAAUAAGCACCGGCUAACUUCGUGCCAGCAGCCGCGGUAA